AAGUGCAUAAAAUUUAUGAGCCCAGCAGCCUAUCUAUAUCUUUCAGAGUGGUCUUUGUGGCUCAGGCUCUGAUUUGGACCUGAAGAUUCUGCUACCUAUUCUGAAUAGUAAGUGAGCUUAACUUGGCUCUAGAAUAUUAUUGCAUCUGCCUUGAUUAAUUCUUUCCUGCAAGAUACUUGGCAGUGUGCCAAUGGUGGAGACAACCAGUUUUCUACCAAAUAGUCCAUUCUCCUCUUCUUCUUAGGUGCUUGGCUACACCACCCAAUCCAGCUCACCUAACAGAUAGCUGUAUUCAUGUGGCUAAGUUUCACCUGAUGGCAUGUGAGUAGAAGAAUGUAUACCUAGAUUUCUGGGCCUACACCUUAAGAACAUGAAUAUGCCUAUUCUGAGUUCUUGUUCCCUUCUUGCCAUUUGGUUGGCUAGAACUUUGCUAUGCAGACAACAAAAGGCCCAGAGAGUAGUGCAGAAUCACGUUGGAAGGAACCUGAGCCCCUGAGUGGCUCAUGAAGCAGACCACCUGCCACCUUGGAACAUUCACCUUGGACUGUUGCUUUAAACCACUGUAUUAUUAUUACAGCAGCUUUUCCUUAUCUCAUCCGAUACAGUGCCUAAGGGACUGAGCUGAGCUUGUAAGAAGAGCACGCCUGCUUGCUAAUGAUUACAGCGGUAGCAGAAUUCCAUCUAGGGCUGGAUACCAAGGCCAGUAAUGCCUGUAAUCUCAGCACUUUGAGAGACCAAAGUGGGAGGAUCACUUGAGCCCAGGAAUUCAAGCCCACCCUGGGCAACACAGCAAGACCCUGCCACUCCAUUAUUUUUUAAAAUAAAAAAUAAAUAAAUAAAAAUUUGUUUUUCUAUAGCCUAAAGAAAAAUAAUUGCCUCUGUUAACAUUACAUUUCCAAGAAAAAUUGUCUGCAAAUAGUUUAAUUUUAG
rnacentral:lncRNA from 1 species